rnacentral:rRNA from 1 species
UACGGAAGGGGCAAGCGUUGUUCGGAAUCAUUGGGCGUAAAGGGCGCGUAGGUGGUCUUGCAUGUCUAUCGUGAAAGGGUACAGCUCAACUGUAGCUCGUCGGUAGAAACUGCAGGACUUGAGGCUGGGAGGGGCUGGUGGAAUUCCCUGUGUAGCGGUGAAAUGCGUAGAGAUGGGGGAGAACACUCGUGGCGAAGGCGGCCAGCUAGACCAGUUCUGACACUGAGGCGCGACAGCGUGGGGAGCAAACAGGAUUAGAUACCCUGGUAGUCCACGCUGUAAACGAUGGGCACUAGGUGCCGGCGGUCUUGAUCCCGUCGGUGCCGGCGCUAACGCAGUAAGUGCCCCGCCUGGGGAGUACGGUCGCAAGGCUGAA